rnacentral:rRNA from 1 species
GAUGAACGCUGGCGGCGUGCCUAAUACAUGCAAGUCGAGCGAACAGACGAGGAGCUUGCUCCUUUGACGUUAGCGGCGGACGGGUGAGUAACACGUGGGUAACCUACCUAUAAGACUGGGAUAACUUCGGGAAACCGGAGCUAAUACCGGAUAAUAUUUCGAACCGCAUGGUUCGAUAGUGAAAGAUGGCUUUGCUAUCACUUAUAGAUGGACCUGCGCCGUAUUAGCUAGUUGGUAAGGUAACGGCUUACCAAGGCAACGAUACGUAGCCGACCUGAGAGGGUGAUCGGCCACACUGGAACUGAGACACGGUCCAGACUCCUACGGGAGGCAGCAGUAGGGAAUCUUCCGCAAUGGGCGAAAGCCUGACGGAGCAACGCCGCGUGAGUGAUGAAGGUCUUUGGAUCGUAAAACUCUGUUAUUAGGGAAGAACAAACGUGUAAGUAACUGUGCACGUCUUGACGGUACCUAAUCAGAAAGCCACGGCUAACUACGUG